GACGAACGCUGGCGGCGUGCUUAACACAUGCAAGUCGAACGGAAAGGCCCUGCUUUUGUGGGGUGCUCGAGUGGCGAACGGGUGAGUAACACGUGAGUAACCUGCCCUUGACUUUGGGAUAACUUCAGGAAACUGGGGCUAAUACCGGAUAGGAGCUCCUGCUGCAUGGUGGGGGUUGGAAAGUUUCGGCGGUUGGGGAUGGACUCGCGGCUUAUCAGCUUGUUGGUGGGGUAGUGGCUUACCAAGGCUUUGACGGGUAGCCGGCCUGAGAGGGUGACCGGCCACAUUGGGACUGAGAUACGGCCCAGACUUCUACGGGAGGCAGCAGUGGGGAAUAUUGCACAAUGGGCGGAAGCCUGAUGCAGCAACGCCGCGUGCGGGAUGACGGCCUUCGGGUUGCAAACCGCUUUCGCCUGUGACGAAGCGUGAGUGACGGUAAUGGGUAAAGAAGCACCGGCUAACUACGUG
rnacentral:rRNA from 1 species